rnacentral:rRNA from 1 species
GAUGAACGCUGGCGGCGUGCCUAAUACAUGCAAGUCGAGCGAAUGGAUUAAGAGCUUGCUCUUAUGAAAUUAGCGGCGGACGGGUGAGUAACACGUAGGUAACCUGCCCAUAAGACUGGGAUAACUCCGGGAAACCGGGGCUAAUACCGGAUAACAUUUUGAACCGCAUGGUUCGAAAUUGAAAGGCGGCUUCGGCUGUCACUUAUGGAUGGACCCGCGUCGCAUUAGCUAGUUGGUGAGGUAACGGCUCACCAAGGCAACGAUGCGUAGCCGACCGGAGAGGGUGAGCGGCCACACUGGGACUGAGACACGGCCCAGACUCCUACGGGAGGCAGCAGUAGGGAAUCUUCCGCAAUGGACGAAAGUCUGACGGAGCAACGCCGCGUGAGUGAUGAAGGCUUUCGGGUCGUAAAACUCUGUUGUUAGGGAAGAACAAGUGCUAGUUGAAUAAGCUGGCACCUUGACGGUACCUAACCAGAAAGCCACGGCUAACUACGUGCCAGCCGCCGCAGUAA